GUUACGCGAAGAUUUGCCUUGUGUAAUAUAAACAUAUACGACUUUUAUUUAUUUUGACUAUUAUUUUCUUAAGUUUGUUUCUUCGCCGACAAGUACACAUCGUAGUAUACGCAGUACGCACUCUCCGCUAAUAACAGAGAAGAGUUAAUGUAAAUACAAAAUUAUAUCACUCAUUCUUUCAAUAUUGUAUACGAUUUUUGUUUUAGAAUUAGACGGAGUAGUGGGGAUCCUCAAGCAAUCGUGAAGUCUAUAUAAUCGGAGUGACUGGCAGUAAAUGGUUCAUUCAUGCCACGAAUCUGCACAAGUACACAUCGUAAUAUUCGCAGUACGCACUGUCCGCUAGUAACAGAGAAGAAUUAAUUCGGAGUAGUGGGGAUCGUCUCCCACUCGUGACGUCUAUAUAAUCGGAGUGACUGGCAGUAAAUGGUUCAUUUAUGCCACGAAUCUGCACAAGUACACAUCGUAAUACUCGCAGUACACAGUCUCCGCAUAAUUAGACGGAGUAGUGGGGAUCCUCAAGCAAUCGUGACGUCUAUAUAAUCGGAGUGACUGGCAGCAAAUGGUUCAUUCAUGCCACGAAUCUGCACAAGUACACAUCGUAAUACUCGCAGUACACAGUCUCCGCAUAAUGACAUGGAGUAGUAGGGAUCCUUUUGCACUCGUGCCGUCUAUAUAAUCGGAGUGACUGGCAGUAAAUGGUUCAUUCAUGCCACGAAUCUGCACAAGUACACAUCGUAAUACUCGCAGUACACAGUCUCCGCAUAAUGACAUGGAGUAGUGGGGAUCCUUUCGCACUCGUGCCGUCUAUAUAAUCGGAGUGACUGGCAGUAAAUGGUUCAUUCAUGCCACGAAUCUGCACAAGUACACAUCGUAAUACUCGCAGUACACAGUCUCCGCAUAAUUAGUCGGAGUAGUGGGGAUCGUCUCCCACUCGUGACGUCUAUAUAAUCGGAGUGAUUGGCAGUAAAUGGUUCAUUCAUUCCACUAAUUUCAACGAGUACACAUCGUAAUACUCGCAGUACACAGUCUCCGCAUAAUUACAUGGAGUAGUGGGGAUCGUCUCCCACUCGUGACGUCUAUAUAAUCGGACCGACUGGCAAUAAAUGAUUCAUUCAUGCCACGAAUCUGCACAAGUACACAUCGUAAUACUCGCAGUACACAGUCUCCGCAUAAUUAGUCGGAGUAGUGGGGAUCGUCUCCCACUCGUGACGUCUAUAUAAUCGGAGUGAUUGGCAGUAAAUGGUUCAUUCAUCCCAUUAAUUUCAACGAGUACAAAUCGUGGUUCUCGAAGUGCGCAUUCUCCACAAUAGAGAACUGUUUACGUAAGUACAAAAUUAUAUCACUCAUUCUUUCAACAUUCAAUAAGAUUUCUUUUGAUUUAGAAUUAAAUGGUGUCCCCACCCAUGACUAAAUGGUAAAAUAUCAAUGCGCGAAUGGCAGCAUAUUACAACGUUCUAUUUAACAUUUCAGGUGGGAUCCGUAGGAGGAGCCCAACGGUGUGUGCCUUUGGGCAAGUUACUGUCUCCAUACCCUUUUCCUUUUCGUUUAGCCUUUUAUUCCUUUUCUGCUUGAGAUUCCUUUUUGCUUAGAUCAUCGUGGAUGCUAGGCUGCGCGCGACGAUAACAAUAUCGGAUCUUUGACUGGCUCUGAGAAUUAUUGGCUUAGUUAUAUUUCCUACUUCGACGAGUGGACUUAGAAAUUUUCACAAGACCAUUCGUACGAAUAUUAACGAAGAGUUUACGCAAGCACAAUAUUAUAUCACACAUAUUUUCGAAACUCUAUACUAUUUCUUUUGUUUUAGACUUCGACUUUGCACUUUCGGAAGACGUUGAGAGUCUAUCUCCACGAGGAGACAUAGAAAUUUUCACAGGGUGCUAUUCGUGCGAGUAUUAACGAAUAGUUAAUUCAAAUGUAUAACAGUUUAUUUGAUUUUAGACUUAAAUUCGAAGUGGGGAUAAUUUUCUUCGUGAGUCGACAACAAUGUCGGGUCUUUGACCGACCUUUAUAGUUCCUAGAUCAGUGGUGCUUUGGACUUCGACGAAUGAACUUAGAAAAUUUCGCGGUUCCCACUCGUGUAAGUACUGACGAACAGUUAAUUCAAAUAUACAACAGUUUAUUUGAUUUUAGACUUAAAUGCGAAGUGGGGAUAGUCGGCUUCGAACGACGACAACAAAGUCGGGCCUUGAAACAUUUAUAGUUUCUGGUUCAGUUGUGCUUUGGACUUCGACGAGUGAACUUAGAAAAUAUCGCGGUUCCCACUCGUAUAAGUACCGACGAACAGUUAAUUCAAAUAUACAACAGUUUAUUUGAUUUUAGACUUAAAUGCGAAGUGGGGAUAGUCGGCUUCGAACGACGACAACAAAGUCGGGCCUUGAAACAACAUUUAUAGUUUCUGGUUCAGUUGUGCUUUGGACUUCGACGAGUGAACUUAGAAAAUAUCGCGGUUCCCACUCGUAUAAGUACUGACGAACAGUUAAUUCAAAUAUACAACAAUUUAUUUGAUUUUAGACUUAAAUGCGAAGUGGGGAUAGUCGGCUUCGAACGACGACAACAAAGUCGGGCCUUGAAACAACAUUUAUAGUUUCUGGUUCAGUUGUGCUUUGGACUUCGACGAGUGAACUUAGAAAAUAUCGCGGUUCCCACUCGUGUAAGUACUGACGAACAGUUAAUUCAAAUAUACAACAGUUUAUUUGAUUUUAGACUUAAAUGCGAAGUGGGGAUAGUCGGCUUCGAACGACGACAACAAAGUCGGGCCUUGAAACAACAUUUAUAGUUUCUGGUUCAGUUGUGCUUUGGACUUCGACGAGUGAACUUAGAAAAUAUCGCGGUUCCCACUCGUAUAAGUACUGACGAACAGUUAAUUCAAAUAUACAACAGUUUAUUUGAUUUUGACUUAAAUGCGAAGUGGGGAUAGUCGACUUCGAACGACGACAACAAAGUCGGGCCUUGAAACAACAUUUAUAGUUUCUGGUUCAGUUGUGCUUUGGACUUCGACGAGUGAACUUAGAAAAUAUCGCGGUUCCCACUCGUACUUAAAUGCGAAGUGGGGAUAGUCGGCUUCGAACGACGACAACAAAGUCGGGCCUUGAAACAACAUUUAUAGUUUCUGGUUCAGUUGUGCUUUGGACUUCGACGAGUGAACUUAGAAAAUAUCGCGGUUCCCACUCGUAUAAGUACCGACGAACAGUUAAUUCAAAUAUACAACAAUUUAUUUGAUUUUAGACUUAAAUGCGAAGUGGGGAUAGUCGGCUUCGAACGACGACAACAAAGUCGGGCCUUGAAACAACAUUUAUAGUUUCUGGUUCAGUUGUGCUUUGGACUUCGACGAGUGAACUUAGAAAAUAUCGCGGUUCCCACUCGUACUUAAAUGCGAAGUGGGGAUAGUCGGCUUCGAACGACGACAACAAAGUCGGGCCUUGAAACAACAUUUAUAGUUUCUGGUUCAGUUGUGCUUUGGACUUCGACGAGUGAACUUAGAAAAUAUCGCGGUUCCCACUCGUACUUAAAUGCGAAGUGGGGAUAGUCGGCUUCGAACGACGACAACAAAGUCGGGCCUUGAAACAACAUUUAUAGUUUCUGGUUCAGUUGUGCUUUGGACUUCGACGAGUGAACUUAGAAAAUAUCGCGGUUCCCACUCGUACUUAAAUGCGAAGUGGGGAUAGUCGGCUUCGAACGACGACAACAAAGUCGGGCCUUGAAACAACAUUUAUAGUUUCUGGUUCAGUUGUGCUUUGGACUUCGACGAGUGAACUUAGAAAAUAUCGCGGUUCCCACUCGUACUUAAAUGCGAAGUGGGGAUAGUCGGCUUCGAACGACGACAACAAAGUCGGGCCUUGAAACAACAUUUAUAGUUUCUGGUUCAGUUGUGCUUUGGACUUCGACCAGUGAACUUAGAAAUUUUCGCACCUUUGGGGGACUUUGAAAAUCUAUCUCCACGACUGGACUUAGAAAUUUUCGAACCUUUGGGGGACUUUGAAAAUCUAUCUUCACGAGUGGACUUAGAAAUUUUCGCACGAUGCCAAAUUUGAGCCAGUAUUAACGAAGACUUAAAAACCUCGUUGCAUUCGCGCGCGUUGCAGUGAUGUAAUCGAGUGUUAAUAUCGCUAAAAUAAAUUUAUCGCGAAAUAGAAGCAGUGUUUGUUCGGUCGCGUUUCGCGAUUUAAAACACAAGUGUUUUUGCGUAGACUGUGUGCAAUGCAGUCGUUAGAGUCAGUGUUUGUUCGCGUAGUUUUUUUGAUUUUUUAACAGUCGUACAGACUGUAUUUAUAAUAUAUAGUAGAGUUUCGCGAAAUAACUUCAGUGACCGUUCGUUAAUAAAUAACUACCGCGAAUUAGAGUCAGUGCAUCACUGAAGAGGAUCUCGACCAACGUCGAUGUCGACCUACCUCAUUUUCAACCAACUACAAAUCGUCCACCCUCAAUUUCGACCUAAAUCGCGGUCCAGUGUUUUGGAGCCGUCGCAGAACUUCUAAAGUAGUAAGUUAAUUUUUAAGUCCCUCCGAUCACUCAGUCAUGUCGAGGACGAAAGGUCCGAAUCGGCACGAGUGAUUGGUUGUAAUUAAUUAGUAGAAGAGCAAUGAGUGACCACGAGUAAAUUUCUUCGGAGAUUUACUCGUGAAUGGUUCGUUAUUUUUUGAUUUAUUUAUUAGAUCAGGAUAGAGUCUUCUUGCUCAAAGGCGUUAAUUAUAAUUAUUUGAAAUUUUGAACAUUUGAAUGCAUUUUUAAAUAAUUUUCUCUCGCGAAAAUAGUAAAGUAUCGCGAUAUUCGCAAAUUUUAGUAAUGAAUAAGCAAGAAGACAUUUGCGAUGGAUAGUCUCUGGAUUACAAGCGAUAUUGUAUUAUUUAUUUUCUAAUAAUUAGAGUAAUCGCUUGUAAGAAGGAGCGUCCAUGAUUUUUCAUUACAUUUUUAAAUAAAGAUUAAUCAAUUUUAUUAAUAAAAGAAAAUCUCAAUAGAGUCAUUGCUUUUGAAAGAACAAAGUAGAGUAGAGUCGUUGAUAAAAGAUAAAGAGACUUGUAGAAUCAUAACGCGUAGAACAUAGAGUAACUUAAUCAAUUUUUAGUUUAGGAUUUUCAGCAAUUAAUAUAUUAAUUCUCGUUUCUCUACCGAUGCUUUCUCGAUUUUUCGUUUCAGGAUUGGUUUAGAGUUGCGUUAGAUUCGUUAGUUUUCUUCGACGUUUUAAAAUAAGAGAUAGUUCUAGUUUCUUAGCGAUAGUUGACGAUAGUUCAAAUGUUCUAUAGUAGUUGUUAGGGUACGAAGCAAAGAAGAGGCUAUGUGCCGAAGAGGCCCCCACAAUUUGUGGCUCAAGAGGGCAACUAUUAGACUAUUGAGUUAUUUUCGAAGUUUCGACAGAACACUUCGAGAAUAACUCUUAGUCAUAUUUUAAUUAUACCAUGUUGUCGCUCAAAAUGCUCUUAUAUAAUAAUAAUAUCACUUUCAGAAAUUAAUAAUACUCAUUCCGUGUCCCAUCUCACAGUGCCACGCGUUUGGGAAUAGAAUUUUUACGUAUUUUAUACAUUUUCAUUAUUAAAGUCGAGUAAUAAAUUUUUCCCAUACUUCUUUCCUAAAGUUCAAUUAAAUCCGUAAUUUUAUUUUUAUAAAAUUAAGUUUUAUAUUAAAGUAAUAAUUUCGAAACGCAUAAAAUAUGGCAAUUGUGAGGACCACUGAAAGUGCACUGAAUAAAAGUGCACAUGGGAAUGAAACAAGAACAUUAAAAUACAUAGCAUAUUCUCGUCUCACUUUUACAGGAAGGAUACCUAACAGGAUUCCAAUAUUACCCAGCCUAUGGAUGCAUAUUGUAGAUUGAACAAUUAUUUAAAACAGUUGAUUAACUUGUUCAUUAACUCCUCUAUCUUCUCUCGGGUGGGACCCUUGGGAGGGGCCCUCGGGUGUGGGCCUUAGGCGGGUUUCGUUCUUUCACUAAGGAAAAAUUAAACUAAUUUAUGAUACUCUGAUUUUCACUUGGUGAAAUGAUCUUUAGAUCCAUUCUUCUGAGUUCUAUCUUUCUCACGUUCCGUGUUUCUUAUCUUUUAUUCUUUUCCUUUUUCUUUUUCUAUUUCUCCUUCACUUUCUCUUUCUCUUUCUCUUAAUCUUUUACGUUUUAUCUGUUUCAGAUUAGAUCGUCGAGGAAUCGAUCAUCGUGAAA